rnacentral:rRNA from 1 species
AUUGAACGCUGGCGGCAGGCCUAACACAUGAAAGUCGAACGAGUGGCGGACGGGUGAGUAAUGUCUGGGAAACUGCCCGAUGGAGGGGGAUAACUACUGGAAACGGUAGCUCAUACCGCAUACCAUCGGAUGUUCCCAGAUGGGAUUAGCUAGUAGGUGGGGUAACGGCUCACCAAGGCGACGAUCCCUAGCUGGUAUGAGAGGAUGACCGGCCACACUGGAACGGAGCCACGGUCCAGACUCCUACGGGAGGCAGCAGUGGGGAAUAUUGCACAAUGGGCGCAAGCCUGAUGCAGCCAUGCCGCGUGUAUGAAGAAGGCCUUCGGGUUGUAAAGUACUUUCAGCGGGGAGGCGUUACCCGCAGAAGAAGCACCGGCUAACUCCGUGCCAGCAGCCGCGGUAAUAC